GAUGAACGCUGGCGGCGUGCCUAAUACAUGCAAGUCGAGCGAAAAGACGAGUAUCUCACUCCUUUGACUUUAGCGGCGGACAGGUGAGUAACACAUAGGUACCCUAUCUAUAAAACUGGGGUAACUUCGGGAAAAAGCCGCUAAAACCGGCUAAUAUUUCGAACAGCAUGGUUCCUUAGUUAAAGAUGGCUUUGCUAUCCGUUAUAGAUGUACCGGCGUGGUAUUAGGUAGUUGGUAUGGUAACGGAACACCAAGGCAACGAUACGUAGCGGACCUGAGAGGAUGAUAGGCCACAUUAGAACGGAAACGCGGUACAGACUCCUCUGCUACGCAGCGGUGGAGAAUGGUCCGCAAUGGGCUGAAGCCUAACGGAGCAAAGCCGCGUGGGGUAUGAGGGGAUUGGGAUCGGAAAAGUAUGCUACUAGUGAAGAACAAGCGUGUAAUUUACUGUGACGGACUUGACGGUACCUAAGCAGAAAGCCACGGCUAACUCCGUG
rnacentral:rRNA from 1 species